CAUCUCCUAGAGGUAACAACAAAAAAUAGUAAAAUAACAUCUGACUUGAAACAUGCAGACACUUCAGCACAAUUGUAAUGCACAACAACAUGAUCUAGAUUCUGUGUUACAGUUAACAAAGUUAAAAAAAUGUAACAACAAAAAGCAAAACCUCCUGCACUUACUGGAAGUAUAAAACAAAGAUAAGAUUUGCAACUGUCCACCAAGUCAUCUUCCAGAACAACCACCAUGCAACGAGGGAUGCUUCCAACAGACAGCCUCUGAACCUAGAGGAUGGAAAGGAAAAGCACUUCUUAAGAACUGCACCUUUCAAAAGCCUUUAAUUUACAGCUGCUCUAGCCUGUGGUCCUUUCCUGGAACUGAGGUCAGUCUUGCUUUUUACCACAAAACUUACAGUAAGAAUGCCAAUGCUGCCCUGAACUUAACAAUGAAAGUUUAAUGCUGAUAUUAAAGGAAAUGGGAUUGAGUAUUAAAUUGGAAGAAGGUGCUCAGUGUUGGGAGAUCCUGUGUGAUUUCAAUAUCUUGUUGAAGAAAGCUCACUAAAAGAUUAUUUGAAAGACCAAUUUUUUAAAAAAAUUUAUUAUAGUUUGAGUUAUUACUAGGUACUUCUUUAAUACGUAAAGUUGACUUUGGGUACUGAAGCAUGUGCAUGGGUUAGAUAAUGCUUUGCUGAAUUAGACACUGAGUGAAUAUUCUCUGUAUUUUCCUGGUAUUUAACCAUGUCUUGACAGUUUGAGAUUAAGUUUACACCUAGGUGUCAAGGAUUAAAUCAAAACCAGGAAAACCCAAAUACAUAUUGACAAAUGUGCCACUAACUCCCGUAAUUCUUUUCUUUUCUCCAGGGCAAAGUCUGUGCAAUCUUGUCACAGUUCAUUUCCAACAAUCUUUCCGUUUACACUCAGAGCUUGCAAUAGUUUUGAGAGUAUCCACUGCACAAGAACAACAGUCAGAAGUACCUUUUCAUUCUGCAGCCCAGGUCAUACAUGCCAGAAUUCUAAAUGCAUUCACUCUGGUGCCUAGGAAGGUUAAUUCACCCUUGUGUAUUAUCUAAAUGGCCACAGGCAGUUCACAUCACUGUCAGUACUGAUGGCACAUGCACAGUUAUUUGCAGAGCUCAGUAGGAAACAUAAGGGAAAUUCACUCUUAGUUUAACUUUACUGUUUUUAACAAGCCCAUGUUGCUGAAAAUUCUUCCUACCAGUGAGAUCUGUGUGUCAUACAGUAUAACAAAAUCUAAGUUAUAGAGAUUUCCCAUAUGUCAGAAACAAUCAUUAUAUGUUCAUGCAAUAUAGGACUUAUUUCCUAGAAAGUUUAUUCCUUUACGUUUUUUGGUAUUCUGAAAUUUUAAGAUCUUAAUUUCUAAUUUCAUACAUUUCUCCUCCACCUUGUCUUUACUUCCACCCAGGGUUACCAUCCAAAAACAAAUGCAAAUUCUGUAUGCAGGUUCUCUAAGGAUCACAUUUGCAAUAAUUGUUGAGUUCCAUAUUGACUGAAGGGAAGAACACUUGCAGACACCAUGUACUGACCACACUGCACAGCUACAGCUGGCCCUGCCAACACUGGGCUAGCUUUAGUGCUCAGAACCAGUGUUGAACAUCAGCAUCAUGCACAGGAAGUGCUUAGAGAAAAAAUGCACACUUGGUGUCACAGGGAUUCAACAUGGAAUGGAAUUUCAUCUAUGGAAAUUUCAUCUAUUCCCUUACUGCUGUUGUUUUGCACAAUAUCUAAUGGAAUUACCCAGUAACAGAAGUAUGGUCUACAUGUUGGCUUAAUUUUUAACUCUUUGACAGGAAAUCUCUGACCAAUGGGUUAUCUGGCUUCUUUCAGUCGUCUCUGGCAUUUGUUUUAAACAGUAGACAUCUAUACUGUAAUACCUUCCCCUUUUAUCUACGGGGAUUUUUUUUCCUUACCUGUUCCUGAAUUUUGAUUUCUUGAUAGUCCCUGCAGCAGGUGGGAGAAGAGGUAGUUCCAGAGAGACACAUGAACUUGGUUGAGUUGCAGCCUUCUUCGUUGAGACAGGCUGCUGGACGACAGAAUGCAUAGUACUGCUCAAAGUCAGCCUUGACAGCAAACACGUGCUUGCACUUGUUGCAGAUGUAACUCCGCUCAAACUCCAAAACCUUCACCGAGCUGGUACGUAUGACAGUCCCAGUAACAGACAAAAAGUGCCCCACAUCCUUGGAUUUAGGAAUGUGCUCUCGAGUCAGCUCUGGGCAAACAGGCAAACCUGUUAGACAGAAAUAAGUGCAGCAUAAGGCUAUGCUUAUCAAACAAGGACUUACAAUGCAAUUAAACAAAAAUACUAGAAAACAUGCCAGACACAUAAACAGCAGCCAUUGUUAUUAGUGUUUCAUAAACAUGAUUCAACUAUUCAUCUGUUGUACCAUAAAUCUGAUUCACUGUCCUCAGAUGGUGAAAAUCAUCAGACACUGAGCACUAGCUGAAAACGCUGCCAGUUUACUCUCCCACUCUUGCCAAGGGGUGAAUAGUCAUGAACAAUUUCCAUUCAUGGAAACAGAUCCUGAUGUUCUCAUAUCUAUUAAUUCAGAUGUUCUUUUUGCAGAUGCCAUUUAUUCUACAAUUGGUUUAUCUGAAUGGCAAUUUUUUAGUUAUGCUACUUAAUUGUGGACCAAUGUUAUUCCCACAGGUAAACAGGUGUAGCUGUGUGAAUAUUGUGUGAAUUCUCAAGUCCAGGCAAACUCAUAGUUGGAGAGCAUUUGACCUUAAAUCCACACUGCAUACCAGCAAACCUCGAGCACAAGGAAGAUAGCAUAAAAAGAAUGUAAAGGGGUUACGAACACAGCCAAAGCAAAGUCACUUGUCUAUUCAAAUGCAUAGUGACAGGACACUUUCCACUUGCUCUCCCUUAAUUCCAGCCCAGCAGCCAGUUCAGUCGUGUGCUGAUCCUGCUCCAGUGAUCACCCAUCACUUGGCACCAGAGUGGCUGAAAUCCUCAGGAAGAUUAAUCUCAACAACUUACUAAGUCUUUAUAAAAGUAAAUGGUCUUGAAAUGCUCACCUGAGCAAAAUAUUGCCUACUCAGAAAUUAGUAAUGGACUACAAGAUACGAAUAAUUAUAAACUUAAUUUCUUAUCUUUACUUCCAAAAUAUUUUGAAAUAUUUUCUACAGAGAUGUAAAACUACAAAUCUGCUAGGAAAUAAUGUUUCUAAGGGGACCAAAACUAUUUGUGCAUUUAGGUCAAAUCUUCUCAGUGACUUUGGUUGAAAAAAAAAAAGAAGUAAUAUUUAUUUCAGUAUUAUUCAAACCCAAAUUCCUUAUUUCAGACAUGCAGAAACAUUCCAGUUUGAUGCUUUUAAGCAACACUUGACCUUCCGCUUUUAUUGAAAGAAAAUAUUUUUAACCAUUGAACUAAUUUUAAAAGGAAUGAGAAUAAAGUAGAAAAAGUAGAAUUAAAUAAUCAGGAUGAAGUAUUUUGUAGAACUGCAAACAAUUUUUUCUGUUUGACUCUAAUAAAGCUAUUUAAAUGUUCUA